AGAGUUUGAUCCUGGCUUAGGACGAACGCUGGCGGCGUGCUUAAAACAUGCAAGUCGAACGGAGUUUGAUUUGUUCCUCGGAACAAGAUUAAACUAGUGGCGGACGGGUGAGUAACACGUGAGCAACCUGCCUUUCACUGGGGAAUAACACUUAGAAAUAGGUGCUAAUACCGCAUAUGACCACAACCCGGCAUCGGGAAAGGGUAAAAGAUUUAUCGGUGAAAGAGGGGCUUGCGCCUCAUUAGCUAGUUGGUAAGGGUAACGGCCUACCAAGGCAACGAUGAGUAGCCGAUCUGAGAGGAUGAACGGCCACACUGGAAUUGAGAUACGGUCCAGACUCCUACGGGAGGCAGCAGUUAGGAAUAUUGGGCAAUGGAGGAAAAACCUCUGACCCAGCAACGCCGCGUGAAGGAUGAAGGUUUUCGGAUUGUAAACUUCUGUUCUAUGGAAAAAAUAAUUGAUGGUACCAUAGGAGAAAGACACGGCUAACUACGUGCCAGCCGCCGC
rnacentral:rRNA from 1 species